CAGCAGCCACGGUAAUACGUAGGGUGCAAGCGUUAAUCGGAAUUACUGGGCGUAAAGCGUGCGCAGGCGGUUAUAUAAGACAGAUGUGAAAUCCCCGGGCUCAACCUGGGAACUGCAUUUGUGACUGUAUAGCUAGAGUACGGCAGAGGGGGAUGGAAUUCCGCGUGUAGCAGUGAAAUGCGUAGAUAUGCGGAGGAACACCGAUGGCGAAGGCAAUCCCCUGGGCCUGUACUGACGCUCAUGCACGAAAGCGUGGGGAGCAAACAGGAUUAGAGACCCCCGUAGUCCCUGUCUCUUAUAA
rnacentral:rRNA from 1 species